ensembl:lncRNA
AUGCGCGGGCUCUGCACGCAUCCCGGGCUCACCCGCCAAGGAGGGAAGGGCAGCGCUCCCAGCGCGAGGCCUUGGGGACAACCAGUACUGCCCAGAGCGUACCAACCCCUGGGCUGGAGAGGCCACGCGCCGCCGGCCGCACGAGGCUCCCGGCUCCAUGAGGGGCGCGUCUCUCCAAGGCCAGGCAGAACUGGGGAGGCUGCAGGGGUUCCCUGGGAGUCUCCCGCGGGCCUUGAGUGGGGAAGGGUAGGGAGGGGUAGGAAGGGAAAAGGAGGGGGGGAAGGGGAGGGGAGGAACGGGGAGGUCUACGUGACUUUCGGUCCCUUCAGCGCUGCUGCCCACCCUGCGGUGGGGGUGCGCCCCACCCCAUCUCCGUCGUCCAAACGGGGACCAGAGCUCAAAGGGGAUGGGACUGGAUCCCAGCGCCCUCUGCACCCCGAAACCCUCCGCCAUGCUGCACCCUCUCCAAUACCCGGGGAACAGGGCGCCCAAGGGCUCCCUCUCCCAGGAAGCGGGCAGGGAUGGGUGCGCGUCCUCCCAAGGCCAACGCGGAGGGAAUUCGAGUUCCCGGGAAUCAAAGUUGCCGCGUGUCUGGCAACGGGCUCCGAGCGGGACGCGGAGCGCGGGGCUGGGGCCAGAGCCCGCCGCGGGCGACGGCCACGCCGGGCACCAGUGGCUCCACGGCUGCGGUCUCGACCCCGCGGCUCCAACUUUCCCGGCGGGGGGAAGGCGAGGGAAGCGGGAAGGGAAGGGCGGUGCGCGGCUGCGGGUACCGUGUGCUUGUGCGGAGCGGCGCCGCGCCACGCCUCGGGCUCUGCUCUCCACCGGAUCGGCCCCCGCGGACCGCCUGGUCGGGCCCCGGCCACCACCGCGUCUCGCUGCCGGCGCGAAGGCUCAUCCGCUGCGCACCGGCCGCUCUGGGGUCCCCUCGGGCCGCCCGCUCGCCGCUCGCCGGCCGCAACUUCAGAUGCGCCACGGGCUCGAACGAGGCGCGCCCCAAAUGUCCCGAGGCUCAGCAGCCGCGCGCUCCAUGCCCGGGGCCGGAACGCCCCGCCCCUCCUGGCUCGGCGGCCCGCCGCCGUCGGACGCGUCCUGGGGCCGAGCACCGCGCCCCUCUCUCCGAGCCGCUGCCGCCGCCGCCGCUGCCGCCGCCGCUCAAGUCCACGAUCAACUUUCCCUCGCUUCCUCCGCCCCGCGCGGCCCCCGCCACCCAGACCCCGCCUCCUGACGCUCCUCGGCUCCCCUCCGCCCCGCGCGCGGUCCCCGCCCGCCGCCAGCGCUCCGCCGCGCCCCCACCCACGGGGGCUGCCGGGACCCCCGGCUCCUUCCCGGGCCCCGCCCGGACCCCCGGGAGCGGCGCGGAGCCCAGCCAGGCGCUCAGGGCAUGAAUAUUUCAGUGCUGGCAAAGCAGUCCUCCGCCGAUGUCAUGGCACCGGCUGCUGUGGCAACUGGGCGAUUCCCCCAAAGGGCCAGGGAGGACGCCCGCGCAGGCGGCCCCAGGUGCGUGCCGGAGCCGCGCCCCGCAGGGCCACCAGCUGUCCCGCAGAGGGGCGCGUGGAGCAGUGGGGGCCUGGUCAGCCUCCCGCCCGCUCCGCGCCUCGGGCCAAACGAGGAAAAGCUCUCGGGAAGCCGAGCUAG